rnacentral:rRNA from 1 species
AACUCGGCAAAAUGACCCCGUAACUUAGGGAUAAGGGGUGCCACCAUCAGGUGGCCGCAGAGAAUAGGCCCAAGCGACUGUUUACCAAAAACAUAGGUUUCUGCUAAGUCGCAAGACGAUGUAUAGGAGCGGACGCCUGCCCGGUGCUGGAAGGUUAAGGGGAUCUGUUAGAGCAAUCGAAGCAGUGAACUUAAGCCCCAGUAAACGGCGGCCGUAACUAUAACGGUCCUAAGGUAGCGAAAUUCCU